GUGCUCACUUCAGCAGCACAUAUAAUAAAACUGGAAUUAUACAGAGAAAAUUAGUGUGGGCCCUGUGUAAGGAUGACACUCAAAUUCAUGAAGCACUCCAUACUAAA
ensembl:snRNA U6 U6 spliceosomal RNA